AUUGAACGCUGGCGGCAGGCUUAACACAUGCAAGUCGAGCGAGCGGCGGACGGGUGUGUAAUGUCUGUGAAACUGCCUGCUGGAGGGGGAUAACUUCUGGAAACGGUAGCUAAUACCGCCUACCAGCUGAUGUGCCCCGAUGGGAUUCGCUAGUUGGUGGGGUGAUGGCUCCCCUAGGCGACGAUCCCUAGCUGGUCUGAGAGGAUGAACAGCCACACUGGAACUGAGACACGGUCCAGACUCCUACGGGAGGCAGCAGAGGAGAAUAGUGCACAAUGGGAGCAAGCCUGAUGCAGCCAUGCCGCGUGUGUGAAGAAGGCCUGCGGGUUGUAAAGCACUUUCAGCGAGGAGGCGUUACUCGCAGAAGAAGCACCGGCUAACUCCGUGCCAGCAGCCGCGGUAAUUC
rnacentral:rRNA from 1 species